rnacentral:tRNA from 1 species
GGGCGUGUGGUGUAGUGGAAUCAUGUCUGCUUCGCAUGCAGAAGGCCCCGAGUUCAAAUCUCGGCACGUCCA